UACGGAGGGUGCAAGCGUUGUUCGGAUUUACUGGGCGUAAAGCGCGCGUAGGUGGGGUGAACAAGUCGGAAGUGAAAUCUUGAGGCUCAACCUCGAGGCUGCUCCCGAAACUGUUCGCCUAGGGACUGGUAGAGGCUGGUAGAAUUCCCGGUGUAGCGGUGGAAUGCGUAGAGAUCGGGAAGAAUACCUGUGGCGAAGGCGGCCAGCUGGGCCAGAUCCGACACUGAGGCGCGAAAGCGUGGGGAGC
rnacentral:rRNA from 1 species